GGGUUGCAGAGUUUAGGGUUGCCAACUGUCCCGUAUGAGCUGGGACAUCCCGUAUAUUGGGCUAAAUUGGUUUGUCCCAUACGGGACCGCCCUUGCCCCGUAUUUGACUGCUACUACUUGAAUCGAGGGGACUGUCAGGUUGGGACGCCGCGUCCAGCUCCGCCUCACCCGUGCCGAUGUAGUGCAACCCAUGGAGUGCAGCCACAGUGCCUCGCCCGUGGCCCCAUCGGUCAGCAGCCCGGCCAGCUGUCCGACCUUCGGACCUUCGCUUACCGCCGACAACACCACCCCUUCUUCUCAUGGUUGAUCAUCGGUUCAUGAGUUGGACGGGGUGCCGGACUUUGUCGCUUGGGCCAAAACACCUCAGCUGGCCCACCGGCUGGGCUUUGUGUGCAAUCCUGCACCUGG